AUGCUCUAUUUGUAGAGCAAACAUUAUGAAAGCAAACAAAAAAUUCACUAUUUAACUUGUGAAUCUUUACUAUAUACAUGUGGGCAAACAUACCUAUUGUUUUACAACAAACAUAAGUACCAAAUGCCAUCAAGAAUCUAUCGCUCCCCUUUGAUUUCAUUUUAAGCCAGACCAGAGAAGAUGAACGGCCCAUAACCUCAGACAGAAGAGGAACGUUUGGUUAUAUUCUGUUUUGUCGUUGGUUUCCCUCGGCUGCACCAGUCUCAGUACAACUCGGCAGCUCCUCCCUCUAGUCUACGCUGCCGGCAUCCCGGCUCCACCCUCCACCCGCCUUCCGUCCUUCCUCCGGCAACUCGCUCCGGCCGAAUUGUGCUUCCUGACUGGACGACGUUGUGAGUACGGCCACAUUCAAGGAGCUCGCAGCAUAUGAGCCUGAUUCGUACUACAUUAGAUCUGCGUCCAUGGCAAACGAAAAUCUACUUGACGGGUGGUCUUGGUGUUGGUGUCUUCUGCAGGAUCUAUGGAGGGAGCAAGAGGAACUGAAGGGAAACAGCGAAGCAUGCAACUCUUUUUGCUUUGCUUUUGCUUUUUUAACUAAGCUUCUUCUGGACACAACUGCCUAGUAGAAGAAAAAGUCGGGUUAUAAAGCACUUGCAAAGUAGAAAUUAUGCUAUGAAACGGAUGUUUCUUGAUCA